UACGGAGGGGGCUAGCGUUGUCCGAAGUUACUGGGCGUAAAGCGCGCGUAGGCGGGUUGGUAAGUCCGCUGUGAAAGCCCGGAGCUUAACUCCGGAGGGUCGGUGGAUACUGCCAGUCUUGAAGGUGCUAGGGGGAGAUGGAAUUACCGGUGUAGCGGUGAAAUGCGUAGAUAUCUGGAGGAACACCGGUGGCGAAGGCGGCAUCCUGGACCGGCACUGACGCUGAGGAGCGAAAGCCAGGGGAGCAAACGGG
rnacentral:rRNA from 1 species